rnacentral:rRNA from 1 species
UACGGGGGGGGGUAAGCGUUGUUCGGAAUUACUGGGCGUAAAGGGCUCGUAGGCGGCCAACUAAGUCGGAUGUGAAAUCCCCAGGCUUAACCUGGGAACUGCAUCCGAUACUGGAUGGCUUGAAUCCGGGAGAGGGAUGCAGAAUUCCAGGUGUAGCGGUGAAAUGCGUAGAUAUCUGGAGGAAUACCGGUGGCGAAGGCGGCAUCCUGGACCGGCAUUGACGCUGAUGAGCGAAAGCCAGGGGAGCAAACGGG